CCUCAACCUCAUGGUUCCUAGUUGUAUUCGUUAACCACUGCGCCACAAUGGGAACUCCUUUGUCACCAAUUUUUAAAAAUCGAUUUUUCACUUAAAAAUCUAGUAGCAGCCCCUCUACUAAGGAGGUGGAGGCCUCGAGCAAGCAGUCAAGGUGGAGGCAGGAGGAGCUGGCCUCUUCCUGCCUCGCUCAGUGAACUGGGACAUUCCAUCUCAUCUCCUGCCCCUGGAGUGGACUCGACACCACCAGCUGCCUCAGCCCUCACACUGAACCAUGCCUUCAGCUUUCCCGGGUCCCUGUUUCUGGCACAGAGCCCCUCAACCCUUGGAAUUUCCUAACAGAUGAGAGGGAAGGUGCUGAGGUCAGUGGUGUUACGUGCAUUCACAUCGUGGGGCAGUGCCAUCAUCAUGGUCUUCAGAAUGCUUCAUCUUCUCCAACUGAAUCUGUGUCUUUGUUACCCAGUAACUCUCCCCGCCCCCGGCCCCAGCAUCUACUUCUUGUCCCUGUGAGUCUGCGUGCUCUUGGGACCUUAUGGAAAUGGAUCAAUGCAGUGUUUCUUUUUUCAGGACUGCCUUAUUUCACUUGGUAUAUUGUCCUCAAUGUCCAUUCAAGUUGUCCCAUGUAUCAGUAUUUCCUUCUUUUUAAAGACUGAAUAAUAUUCUGCUGUAUCCAUAAAUCACAUUCUUUAUCACUCA